UCAAUAAGACUGCGAGAGAAAAGAAACCAACAGGGAUUGCUCUAGUAACGGCGAGUGCAAGCAGCAAUAGCUCAAAUUUGAAAUCUGGCGUCUUCGACGUCCGAGUUGUAAUUUGUAGAGGAUGCUCCUGAGUAACCACCGACCUAAGUAACACACAAGAACAAGGACGUUCAUAAGAGGGGUGAGAAAUCCCGGUAUGCGGGUCGGAAAGGUGCUCUAUACGUAGCUCCUUCGACGAGUCGAGUGGUUUGGGAAUGCAGCUCUAAAUGGGAGGUAAAUUUCUGUCUAAAGCUAAAUAUUCAGGCCUGAGACCGAUAGCGCACAAGUAGAGUGAUCGAAAGAUGAAAAGCACUUUGGAAAGAGAGUUAAAAAGCACGUGAAAUUGUUAAAAGGGAAGGGAUUGCAACCAGACUUGCUCGCGGUGUGCCGCCGGUCUUCUGACCGGUCUACUCGCCGCGUUGCAUGCCAGCAUCGUCUGGUGACGCUGGGAUAAGACUUGAUGGAAUGUAAGCUCCCCUCCGGGAAGGUUGUUAAUAGGCCCCUCCUUUGUUUGAAAUUGGCCAGGCCCGUAAAGGCCGCGCCCCGGGGGGGCCGGGGGGGGGUUUCCCCCGGCCNGCCC
rnacentral:rRNA from 1 species